UGCUGGUGAUGCGGAGGAAGGGCAGGAAGAGCAACACUUCGUCCACCGCUGAGGAGAGCUGGUACAAGAACGAAGGUGGCACCUGGACAGCAUCCGAUGGCUUCGUCCUCAACAACAGCAAUGCCACCGACCCAGGCGGCAGCCUACGGAGCUUCACGGC